GAUGAAGAACGUAGCGAAAUGCGAUAAGUAAUGAGAAUUGCAGAAUUCAGUGAAUCAUCGAAUCUUUGAACGCACCUUGCGCCUUUUGGUAUUCCGAAAGGCACACCUGUUUGAGCGUCAUGAAUACCUCAAUCUCCAUCUUUUCUUCGGAUUGAUGGGUGACUUGGAUGUUGAGCCCUGCUGGUAUGCUAUAUCAGCUGGCUUUAAACUUAUUAGCCGGCUCUGUACUGGAUCGGUUUGACUCGACGUGAUAAUAUUAUCGUUGAGGAUGCAUGUCUCAUGCAGCCGGAAAGUAUCAAAGCAGCUUCUAGCUUGCCUUUAGUGCACUUUUACAUUUUAGACCUCAGAUCAGGUGGGACUACCCGCUGAACUUAAGCAUAUCAAUAAGCGGAGGA
rnacentral:misc_RNA from 1 species